rnacentral:rRNA from 1 species
GCCUUUGGCCAUACCACUCUGAGAAUGCCAGGUCUCGUUUGAUCUUGGAAGCUAAGUAGGGUCAGUCUCCGUUAGUACUUGGAUGAGAGAUGACCUGGGAAUACUGGGUGAUUUAAAAUCC